rfam:Medicago truncatula strain A17 chromosome 7, whole genome shotgun sequence.
AUCCCACGAUGAGGACACCUUAUCAAUAAUUCCUUAAACCUUUCCCAAGCUUCAAAAAGAGUUUCUUCAUUAGUCUGCUUAAAAAAAAUGUAAUAUCAUUCCUCUUUCU